CAGUCUACCAGCCCCCCACACAGCUGUGGUGAGGCACCUGGACAUGGACAAGUUGCUAUUUUAUCCAGGUGUAGUAACCAGUUAUUGUGGGUGGGCUGUAUUGCUGUUUGUGCUUCGUGGGUGGGUUGCUGGACUAACCAGGACACUGACCGGCAGGAGGUCAGAUACCCUGUUAGUUUGGAUGGUAAAGGGGAGAAAUGUGGCGAAACCGGCCUCGCCACGUGUCCUUGGAGGGGGCAGCUUGCCUGCCUCUUGCCUUUGGAC